rnacentral:rRNA from 12 species
AGGGGUGAAAGGCCAAUCAAACUCAGAGAUAGCUGGUUUUCUGCGAAAUCUAUUUAAGUAGAGUGUUUAUUGUGAUACCUGAGGUAGAGCUCUCUUUUAGUGCGGGGUUGUCUAUCUUCUACCAAACUUUUGGAAACUUCGAAUUCGGGAUUAUUAAAUUUAAACAAACAGACUAGAGGUGCUAAGAUCUUUAGUCGAGAGGGAAACAGCCCAGAUUGACCGUUAAGGACCUUAAAAAUACAGAAGUUAAAGGAAGUUAAAAACUUUUAACAGCCAGGAGGUAGGCUUAGAAGCAGCCACCCUAUGAUGAAAGCGUAGCAGCUCACUGGUCUAGGUUUUUUGCACCGAAAAUUUAAUGGGAUUAAAAGUAUUUUCCGAAGCG